rnacentral:misc_RNA from 1 species
UCCGAGUUGACCCCGGCAGUCUCCUAUGAGUCCCCACCACCCCGAAGGGCGUGCUGGCAACAUGGAACGAGGGUUGCGCUCGUUGCGGGACUUAACCCAACACCUCACGGCACGAGCUGACGACAACCAUGCACCACCUGUGAUCCUGCCCCGAAGGGAGCCCCUGUUUCCAGGGGGGUCAGGAACAUGUCAAGCCCAGGUAAGGUUCUUGGCGUUGCGUCCAAUUAAACCACAUGCUCCGCUGCUUGUGCGGGCCCCCGUCAAUUCCUUUGAGUUUUAGCCUUGCGGCCGUACUCCCCAGGCGGGGUGCUUAAUGCGUUAGCUUCGGCACGGACGGAGUCGACACCGCCCACACCUAGCACCCAUCGUUUACGGCGUGGACUAC